AAGACCUUGCGCUUUUGGAGCGGCCGAUGCCUGAUUAGCUUGUUGGUAAGGUAAAGGCUUACCAAGGCUUCGAUCAGUAGCUGGUCUGAGAGGACGGCCAGCCACACUGGGACUGAGACACGGCCCAGACUCCUACGGGAGGCAGCAGUAGGGAAUUUUGGACAAUGGGGGAAACCCUGAUCCAGCCAUGCCGCGUGAGUGAAGAAGGCCUUCGGGUUGUAAAGCUCUUUCAGCCGGAACGAAACGGUUACGGAUAAUACCCGUGACUACUGACGGUACCGGAAGAAGGAGCACCGGCUAACUACGUGCCAGCAGCCGCGGUAAUACGUAGGGUGCGAGCGUUAAUCGGAAUUACUGGGCGUAAAGCGUGCGCAGGUGGUUUUGUAAGUCAGAUGUGAAAGCCCCGGGCUCAACCUGGGAACU
rnacentral:rRNA from 1 species